rnacentral:lncRNA from 1 species
CUUUAACAACGAGCUGUCAAGAUCGGUCCAAAAAUUUAAGGCCUGGUUUAGACACACCUUGAGCUCUGGCUAUAAAAAUAGGCCUCCAGUAUUGGCAAAUAAAACAGCGGCGGCUUCGGCGAGUUUCCAGAGGGAUGAGAAAGGGAAUACCCACCCUGAACGUCUGAAGUAUCGGUUAAAAUCUCUGUUUGAAGGCAGCUGGCGAGAAAGACAGGAAGAGCCCUGCUGACAGAGACUUCACUUCUGAGCGGGGGAAAACAAAAGAAUAUGACGUGCCACGGAAAAAUAUCUGGGCAGGCAGGAAUAGGCUCGUGAAAAACCCGCUCGUGCAAACAUACGCGAGUCAAGAACCUCAGGCCAAUGGAGAUCUGAGCCCAACAAUAAAUGCAAUACUAUAUCCUUGCGUUUGAUACCCCCCAGAGGAGACCCUUGCGCGCAUCCCGCUUCAAGGCCACUAAACGGCACAUCACUGUUUUUCUCCCCAGCUGCCCCAGGAAUGUUUCUGGGCAGGCUAAUAGGUAUAUUACUUGUAUUCUUUAGAAUACAAUACAAAUAUUCUGUAGGAUGCUCUGAAAUGCACGCAACAGUUUAGUCGGACCUGACUGACCAUAAAACCGUGCUUCUCUUGAAGCCUGCUGAGUUACUUCAGUUUAGAGCGCGCUGUGAGUCACGAAACACAGGAAUUACACCACGAUUAUGCACCCUGUGAAAAACCUGAGUGGCAAACCGUGCGUCCACAGAGUGCCAGGGAAGGUUCCUGAGCUGACCGGGAGGAGCAUUAUGUUAGUAAGUAGCAUGGAGAAAAAGCAUAGCUUUUGAGGAAUGGAUCCUAGGCGCUUUUAUGUAAGGAAACAAAAUGAGAACGGAAGUCAUUUUUCAGAAAGCAUUGGGCACGUGGGCACGGACUUUAAUACAAACAGCAAGGACUUGUUUGGACAGGUAGCUAUCAGAAGCAAAGAAAAUGGAUUAUGGUGCAGGAAGGCUAUUUUACAGGCUGGAGGAUAACUCGCAUAGACCUAAUCGAAGUUCUGCUUCACUUUUUUUUUCAGUGCGAGGAGGGCAACAAGUACUGCAGAAGAAAUAACUGAACGAAGCGCACGAGGGUAUGAAAAUGGAAAUCACUGCUUCGAACCGCUCCAAAGUGCAAAUGUUGUACAUCAGUUUGCAUUAGCGAAAGCCAGGGAAACCGGCCAUGAGAAAUGACAUCUGACACCAAUCGCUUCGAAGGUGGACGGCUGCUGAUGGGAAGACAGCAAGCACUGAAUAACAAGUAAAGAAGAAGCAGUGAACUCAGUAGAGAGGAACUGGAAGAAAACCACGACUCUGACGUACAGUUCCUUACGUAGCCAAAAAUCAAGUCAGAGAUUUUAUUGAUGUCUGCAUAAGAGACAUCAAGUCACGGUCCGAAGCAGUGAUUGAGCACCUGGUGGAAGGCAGGGCCAAGCCAGGGCCAACCCAGGUGAACGCAAUGCAGCCAAUUAGAAGGGGUGGAGCCAGGAUCCACCCCUUCCCAGACCUCAUUUAAGGGCCAGCAGGGGGAGGAGAAAGACUGUCUUCUAGAGCUCUCUGCACCUCUUGAGGAUUUUACAGGUCUUGUAAAGAACUUGCAGUGCUAAAUGGCCAACUGCAGAAGCGGUCCUCGUCCUCCACUUUCUUCUCCCAAGAAGAAGUCAGUUCAGCAGCAAGGGAAGAAGUCCCAAGCACAGAAAUAACUGGUAGGCGCUACAUUUCUUCCCUGAGGUAAGCAAGAUUCUUUGCUUUUUGUUUCAAGUUGGAGACUGCCAGGUAUCCACUACACCAGGAAAACUUGAGCUAGCUCAGUCCAGCCAUUAUUUUAGUGCAGAUACUUAGGCAUCCUAUUUCCACAGGUAACACAGAGCAUCUCUACUUGCAGUAGAAAAUCUUUUCAAAAGAAACUGCUGCAAGCGGGUAAUUCUUCUCUAAAACUGACAUCUACUCACCUGCUUCUCACACUAUGGAAGCAAACUUCAUUCCCAGUAUUUUUGGGGCACACACUGAAACAAGAGCAGAGUUACACCUAGAAGUUCUCCUCUGCAGUUUUGAUCCUGCAAGGAGGCAAAAGUGAAAGAAGCCUAUCUUGCAAGGGAGACCUAGUUGUUCGUUGUUUGAAUUUAGAAACUUCUAAGUUAAGUUGUCUGUCCAAUUUGAUUGAGCUCACUUUGUGAGAAGCAGUGUUAAAUACUGAGGGAAAAGUCUGUCCAGAUAACAUUUUAAACUAUAGAUGCAGAAAACCAAGUUGGCCUUGUACAGACCUCUCCAGAGAAGUUUUAUAAGCAUUUCCAUUUUCUUAGACCAUUUUUUCUCCUAAGAGGAAUAGGCAAGAAAGUCAGAGAAAGGCAACUUCCCUCCUUCUUAACCAUCUCAUCCUAUUUAGGUUGUUAGUUAGGAACACAGCCUUAUAUGCAACUCCACAGGCACAUUUCACCUCCAGCCACUUACCCAAACCCUUUUUACUGUAACCUUCAGGCACAGUAAACCACUACACACAUCAAGCACCCUCUUAAGCUACAGAUACAGAGUCAUAGCAAAAAAAAGUUCUACUUGAGCUUCGUAAUAAACUGAACUUUCUCCUCCUGCAGAGCACAGAACUCAGCUCCUCCCUUCCAGCCCAGGACCAGCAACACUGCCACCAAGAAGCCAUCACAUCAGAAAGGGGAGCCCCCUUCACCAGGAGGGGCUCCCUCUGUGGGGGGGGUAGGUGAGGUGGGGGCCCCUUCACCAGGAGGGGCUCCCUCUGUGGGGGGGGGUAGGUGAGGUGGGGGCCCCUUCACCAGGAGGGGCUCCC